rnacentral:rRNA from 1 species
UGGGGAAUAUUGGACAAUGGGGGCAACCCUGAUCCAGCCAUGCCGCGUGAGUGAUGAAGGCCUUCGGGUUGUAAAGCUCUUUUGGCGGGGACGAUGAUGACGGUACCCGCAGAAUAAGCCCCGGCUAACUUCGUGCCAGCAACCGCGGUAAGACGAAGGGGGCUAGCGUUGUUCGGAAUUACUGGGCGUAAAGCGAGUGUAGGCGGUUGCCGUAGUCAGGUGUGAAAGCCUUGAGCUCAACUCAAGAAAUGCACUUGAUACUGGGUGACUAGAGGACCGGAGAGGAUAGUGGAAUUCCCAGUGUAGUGGUGAAAUACGUAGAGAUUGGGAAGAACACCAGUGGCGAAGGCGGCUAUCUGGACGGUUACUGACGCUAAGACUCGAAAGCGUGGGGAGCAAACAGGAUUAGAUACCCUGGUAGUCCACGCCGUAAACGAUGGGUGCUAGACGUUGGCGAGCUUGCUCGUCAGUGUCGCAGCUAACGCGUUAAGCACCCCGCCUGGGGAGUACGGCCGCAAGGUUGAAACUUAAAUGAAUUGACGGGGGUCAUAGCUGUUUCCU